rnacentral:lncRNA from 1 species
GCAUUUGAUCGAUAUAAGCUGGAUAUGGCUUUUUGUAGGUGGGCCUUUCUCAUCUUCUAGCUUCAAGCUCCAUCAUCUCUCUAAUCAUUCUCUAUAGUACUCCCAUGUCAUUUCAGGCGUUGAUAGGGUGUAGGUUCCGACCUAGUUCUGGCUUAUUGUGUUCAGCCCUAUGUUCCAUUAUGUAUGGUCUGGGCAUGACUUCCUCCCUAUGUUCC